rnacentral:lncRNA from 1 species
GGGGUGAUGUGCAGAAGAGAGGGUAGGGGAAGGGGAGUGAGAGAGGCAGAAAUACAUAAAGAUAGAAAUAGAGAUAGAGAGAGAGAGAGGGAGAGAGGGACAGAGAGAGAGAUAUCAGAAAUGAGAGUUUGGUCAGGUAGAAGCAGACACACAGAGUGGCCCUGAAGAAGGGCUGAUUUAAUCCCUCUUGUGUGUCUUAGUGGUAAAGGAGCUACAGAGAUAUUGGUCUUUUGAAUGAACUAAGCUUGGAUAUGGAGAAAUGCAUGAUCUAGAGGCACUCAGAUGAAACUGGGCUCCAGAGCCAAUAGUACUAAACUUAUUAUGUUAUUGCCCCAGGUUGGUAUCCCACUACAAAGCAAGGGCCUGCCACAACCAGAUGCAUGUUUCAACGACAUCGAAAGACUCACCUUGGACUCAUCGCUGACUUGUCAACCAGAACUCCAAUAUCUGAGUUUGUCAAGAUCUCAAAGGACGUGGAGUGCAUUUGUAUUAUCAUAUAAAGCACGUGAAAUUAUG